AGUGGCAGACGGGUGAGUAACGCGUGGGAACGUACCUUUCGGUUCGGAAUAAUUCAGGGAAACUUGGACUAAUACCGGAUACGCCCUUUGGGGGAAAGAUUUAUCGCCGAUAGAUCGGCCCGCGUCUGAUUAGCUAGUUGGUGAGGUAAUGGCUCACCAAGGCGACGAUCAGUAGCUGGUCUGAGAGGAUGAUCAGCCACAUUGGGACUGAGACACGGCCCAAACUCCUACGGGAGGCAGCAGUGGGGAAUAUUGGACAAUGGGCGCAAGCCUGAUCCAGCCAUGCCGCGUGAGUGAUGAAGGCCUUAGGGUUGUAAAGCUCUUUUGUCCGGGAAGAUAAUGACUGUACCGGAAGAAUAAGCCCCGGCUAACUUCGUGCCAGCAGCCGCGGUAAUACGAAGGGGGCUAGCGUUGCUCGGAAUCACUGGGCGUAAAGGGCGCGUAGGCGGACUUUUAAGUCGGGGGUGAAAGCCCAGGGCUCAACCCUGGAAUUGCCUUCGAUACUGGGAGUCUUGAGUUCGGAAGAGGUUGGUGGAACUGCGAGUGUAGAGGUGAAAUUCGUAGAUAUUCGCAAGAACACCGGUGGCGAAGGCGGCCAACUGGUCCGAUACUGACGCCGAGGCGCGAAAGCGUGGGGAGCAAACAGGAUUAGAUACCCUGGUAGUCCACGCCUUAAACGAUGAGAGCUAGUUGUC
rnacentral:rRNA from 1 species